UCACGUGCACUCACCGCUGCAUGCAUGAAAUUUUAAAUCAGAAACUGAACACAAGAUUUGACACAUUCCUUGGUAUGUUUGUAAAGGUGGAAGCCAGUAAGACAAGAUGAUGGAGCAAGGAGUGGCUGGCAAUGGCUGAUGUGUGGGCAGCAUCACUGGAGAGAGCAGAGCCUGAGCUCGGAGGAGUUUGGCCUCACAGAUUAUGAUGAAAAUGACUCUGAUGUCAGCCAUAGCACAGACAGUGAAGAAGCAAGCGCAGGAAAAAUUCAAGUUCCAGUGGGGACGGAAGUGACAGCCACUCUGACAGUGAUGAGGAACAAGAACAGUGGACGGGGAAAACA